rnacentral:rRNA from 1 species
AGUCACUGACAUUAGAUACCCCUGUAGUCCAGGGUGUAAACGCUGCAGACUUGGUGUUGGAAGCCCUUUGGGGGCAUUCAGUGCCGGAGAGAAGUUGUUAAGUCUGCUACUUGGGGAGUACGUCCGCAAGGAUGAAACUUAAAGGAAUUGGCGGGGAGCACCGCAACGGGAGGAGCGUGCGGUUUAAUUGGAUUCAACACCGUAAACUCACCAGGGAAGACUGUUACAUGAAGGCCGAGAUGAAGACUCUGCUAGAUUUUCAG